UACAUUUGUUGAUUGGCGGAGAAGAAAAAGACGAAGAUGAGGGCAACGGAGGAAAUUUACAAAUGGUUGUUGUGGAAGUUCAUCCAUACAAAGGACCACGAGAUAAUGCAGUCCAAACUACGACUUAUGGAAAAGAACAAAAGCAGGAUUCUGAACAGGACAAGGAAGGACAACAGGAAGCUUCCACAGAACAACCAUCAACUUCCUUUGAAGGUACAAAAGAAAAAGAGGCCGUUGAAUUUGAAACCAAAAGUAGUGAC